rnacentral:rRNA from 1 species
UACGUAGGGUGCGAGCGUUGUCCGGAAUUAUUGGGCGUAAAGAGCUCGUAGGCGGUGUGUCACGUCGGCCGUGAAAACCUGCAGCUUAACUGUGGGCGUGCGGUCGAUACGGGCAUCACUGGAGUUCGGCAGGGGAGACUGGAAUUCCUGGUGUAGCGGUGAAAUGCGCAGAUAUCAGGAAGAACACCCCGUGGCUAAGGCGGUUCUCUAGUACGGUACUGACGCUGGAGACGCGAAAGCCGUGGGGAGCGAACAGG